rnacentral:rRNA from 1 species
UACGUAGGGUGCAAGCGUUAAUCGGAAUUACUGGGCGUAAAGCGUGCGCAGGCGGUUUUGUAAGUCUGACGUGAAAUCCCCCGGGCUCAACCUGGGAAUUGCGUUGGAGACUGCAAGGCUAGAAUCUGGCAGAGGGGGGUAGAAUUCCACGUGUAGCAGUGAAAUGCGUAGAUAUGUGGAGGAACACCGAUGGCGCAAGGCAGCCCCCUGGGCUAAGAUUGACGCUCAUGCACGAAAGCGUGGGGAGCAAACAGG